UACAGAGGUCCCAAGCGUUGUUCGGAUUCACUGGGCGUAAAGGGUGCGUAGGUGGUCGGGUAAGUCCGAUGUGAAAUCUCCAGGCUCAACCUGGAAAUGGCAUUGGAUACUAUCCGGCUUGAGGAGUGGAGGGGGACUGGGAAUUCUCGGUGUAGCAGUGAAAUGCGUAGAUAUCGAGAGGAACACCAGUGGCGAAGGCGAGUCCCUGGACACUUCCUGACACUGAGGCACGAAAGCUAGGGGAGCAAACAGG
rnacentral:rRNA from 1 species